UACGUAGGUGGCAAGUGUUGUCCGGAAUUAUUGGGCGUAAAGCGCGCGCAGGCGGUCCUUUAAGUCUGAUGUGAAAGCCCACGGCUCAACCGUGGAGGGUCAUUGGAAACUGGGGGACUUGAGUACAGAAGAGGAAAGCGGAAUUCCACGUGUAGCGGUGAAAUGCGUAGAGAUGUGGAGGAACACCAGUGGCGAAGGCGGCUUUCUGGUCUGUAACUGACGCUGAGGCGCGAAAGCGUGGGGAGCAAACAGG
rnacentral:rRNA from 1 species